CUGUGUGAAUUGCAGAAUCCCGUGAACCAUCGAGUCUUUGAACGCAAGUUGCGCCUGAAGCCAUCAGGCUGAGGGCACGUCUGCCUGGGCGUCA
rnacentral:rRNA from 1 species